ensembl:lncRNA
AGCAAAACCAACACAUCACCUCAGACCACCAUCCUACCAGCUGUGAGAGUUCCUUCAAACUGUCAGAGAGAUUUCAGCCUGUUGAUGUUUGACCCUGAUGGAGACGAAGUUAAAUGCAGAUAUGGGAACUCCUCACUCUCAGAGUGUAACCCCUGCACUCCACCGUCUGUCCUCAGCCUCUCAUCGUCCUCUUGUACUCUGUCAUUCAGCCCCACCAACAGCAGUAAUGAAGGGUCGUAUGUAGUACAACUGGUGAUGGAGGACUUCCCCAGACAGACCAUCACUCUGACUCAAACCAACGGGACACAAACAACAAUAACUACCAACGAUGCCAUCAGCAAAAUACCGAUUCAGUUUGCUUUGAAAGUUGAUCCUGCAGUGCCAUCCUGCACAGAAGGACUCUUUCUGCCCAAGUUUCUUCCUCCAACACCAGCCAACGGAGCUCAGCUCUACAACAAUGUCAGUCAGACUCUGGAAAUUAACAUCACUGCACAGGCACUUAACUCCACGGUCUCUGAGCUGCUCUACAGCGGGCCGUACAAUUUAACCAGCAGUACAUCAGGACCAGGACAGUUCAUCCUGAGAUGGACACCAUCUGAAAGUGAAGAUGGACGAAGCCUCCCCAUCUGUUUUGUUGUCCAGGCAGUUUUCAAGUCAGUCUCAUGUUUCAUAUAAAUGACUCUGUAGAAAGUUAAAAUAUUUUUUAUCUUUUGAGAUUACAGUUGUUGUCAGAAGGCAACAUAUAAACCAGGAACCUUCCAUGUUUUGAAAACAUGCUAAAUUAAAAUACAAAGUGUCCUUGGUUAAGUGACUUGAAGUUGUCAUGUGAUUGAAGGGCUAUAU